GACGAACGCUGGCGGCACGCUUAACACAUGCAAGUCGAACGGAGUUAAUUGGAGCUUGCUUUGAUUAACUUAGUGGCGGACGGGUGAGUAACACGUGAGCAACCUGCCUUUAAGAGAGGAAUAACAGUCUGAAAAGACUGCUAAUACCUCAUAACAUAACGAAGCCGCAUGACUUUGUUAUCAAAGAUUUAUCGCUUAAAGAUGGGCUCGCGUCUGAUUAGCUUGUUGGUGAGGUAACGGCCCACCAAGGCGACGAUCAGUAGCCGUACUGAGAGGUAGAUCGGCCACAUUGGGACUGAGACACGGCCCAGACUCCUACGGGAGGCAGCAGUGGGGAAUAUUGCACAAUGGAGGAAACUCUGAUGCAGCGAUGCCGCGUGAGGGAAGAAGGUUUUCGGAUUGUAAACCUCUGUCUUCAGGGACGAUAAUGACGGUACCUGAGGAGGAAGCUCCGGCUAACUACGUGCCAGCAGCCGCCGUAA
rnacentral:rRNA from 1 species